GUGAGGAAUUUUCCGCAAUGGGCGAAAGCCUGACGGAGCAAUGCCGCGUGAAGGAUGAAGGCCUAUGGGUUGUAAACUUCUUUUCUCAGAAAAGAAUUAUGACGGUAUCUGAGGAAUAAGCAUCGGCUAACUCUGUGCCAGCAGCCGCGGUAAGACAGAGGAUGCAAGCGUUAUCCGGAAUGAUUGGGCGUAACGCGUCUGUAGGUUGUUUAAAAAGUAUUCUGUCAAAGAUUAGGGCUUAACCCUAGAUAGGCAGAAUAAACUUUUAAGCUAGAGUUUGGUAGAGGCAGAGGGAAUUCCCGGUGGAGCGGUGAAAUGCGUAGAUAUCGGGAGGAACACCAAAGGCGAAGGCACUCUGCUGGGCCAAUACUAACACUGAGAGACGAAAGCGAGGGGAGCAAAUGGGAUUAGAAACCCCGGUAGUCC
rnacentral:rRNA from 1 species